rnacentral:rRNA from 1 species
AUGAUCAGACAUGUGGAGGAAUUCAAAUUUAUCAAAAAUCACUUCAGAGGUCAUGGAAAACGAUGGGAAAUAUUCGGUUGGCUGCGUUCUUUUUUCAAACAAUUUUAUGGGUCAGUCACCGAGGAGGACUACACAACCCUGCUACUUGGCUUUGUCAUGAAACACAGCAAGGGGCAUCCAAAAUUUAACUUUUACAGUUAUAUGAAUAGAGCACUAGAAGGGGAUUUCAAGAAAGUUGUUGGCAUAAGCUGGUACCUUUGGGCUAUGUUGAUGAUAUUCCUGCUACUGAAUGUUCAUGGAUGGUAUGUCUACAUUUGGAUAUCGGUUGCACCAUUCGUUUUGCUACUUGUGGUCGGAAGUAAGCUGGAGCAUAUUAUCACGGAGCUAGCUAUUGACGUUGCCCAGAAGAAUACUGCAAUAGAAGGGGAGCUAGUUGUAGCUCUUUCAGAUGAAUUCUUUUGGCUCCAUCGGCCUAAACUAGUCCUUCUAUUGAUCCGUAUCAUCUUGUUCCAAAAUGCAUUUGAGAUUGCAUUUUUCUUCUGGCUGCUGGUAACAUAUGGAUUUAAAUCAUGUAUUAUUGGAAAACCAGCAUAUGUUAUUGCUCGUCUGGUGAUAAGUGUCAUCAGCCAACUCCUAUGUGGAUACAACACCCUCCCUCUAUAUGCUCUCAUAUCUCAAAUGGGAGGUUCGUUUAAGAAAGCCAUGUUCGAUGAAAGUAUAUCUGAAGGCCUCACCAAUUGGGCUCAAAAGGCUAGGAAGCGUAAUAGAAUGACAACACCAAGUGUUGGUGACAAUUCACCCGUUGGUGAGGGAAUUCAAAUGACAAAUGACUGCUAG